AGGCAGUCAAAUGAAUUGUAACCGCAGAAAAGGCUAUGACACAGUUCAUAGAAAAACUGAGCACCCAGUUCCUCGAAUUAUCCAGGCUAGAAGAUAGAGCAGCCACUUUGUUACGCUUAUUUCUUUUAAGGUUGAGCUAGGUCAAAAAGCUCAUCAGAAGGCAAGCUUGCUUUUAUUCACUUUUCUGAUGUUGUGCAUUACAAAUAUUUAAAGAGGAAACACUAGUGCUUGUCCGGUGGCCCUAACCACCCCUCCUCCUAUCUCUCCCUCCAUUUUCAAACGUCCUAGCCACCACUGCUACUUCCUCCAAGUCACCGCUACUUGCUCACCACUCAACUUCCCCAUAGUUGUGGUUCUGCACCUGAUUGCUUUAGCUUUUCUGCAUAGAUCGUUUACACCCCCUUUUGCACCACCACUGUUGCUCCAUAGCAUAGCUAUAGGUUUCACUCCACAAAGAGUAACCACCAUUGACUCCCAUACUAUUGUGCAUUGCAGCUGGAAAACAUAGAUUAAUUUGGAAGAUCUCAUGAAAUCAAUGUCAACAAAACUUUGAUCUAUCAUCUCCAACCGCGACCUUUGGGAUUUGCAUUCAUAGACAUACUAUUUAUGGCUAAAAAGUUUUUCCAGGUAAGAUAAAGCCAAACUGAAAAUUAGGAUUUAUGUUGCAGUCUUGAUAGUCAACUUCCAAAGUUGUUUUAUCUGUUUGCCACCCUAGGUCAGCCUUCC
rnacentral:lncRNA from 1 species